UGGUGCCGCUGCUUGCUGUGCAAUGCCGACUCGCGUGGACAAGAAACGACGCCCUAACUCCUGGC
rnacentral:snoRNA from 1 species